rnacentral:rRNA from 1 species
CCUACGGGUGGCAGCAGUGGGGAAUAUUGGGCAAUGGGCGCAAGCCUGACCCAGCAACGCCGCGUGAAGGAAGAAGGCUUUCGGGUUGUAAACUUCUUUUCUCAGGGACGAAGCAAGUGACGGUACCUGAGGAAUAAGCCACGGCUAACUACGUGACAGCAGCCGCGGUAAUACGUAGGUGGCAAGCGUUAUCCGGAUUUACUGGGUGUAAGGGGCGUGUAGGCGGGAAAGCAAGUCAGAUGGAAAAACCAUGGGCUCAACCUGUGGCCUGCAUUUGAAACUGUUUUUCUUGAGUGCUGGGGAGGCAGACGGAAUGCCUGGUGUAGCGGUGAAAUGCGUAGAUAUUAGGAGGAACACCAGUGGCGAAGGCAGUCUGCUGGACAGCAACUGACGCUGAGGCGCGAAAGCGUGGGGAGCAAACAGGAUUAGAUACCCCAGUAGUC